CGUCGUUCGGCGAGUACGUCAGAGAGUUGAUCCUCGCUCAGACGACGCUGCGGCGUGCUUAACACAUGCAAGUCGAACGAUGAAGCACCAGCUUGCUGGUGUGGAUUAGUGGCGAACGGGUGAGUAACACGUGAGUAACCUGCCCCUCACUCUGGGAUAAGCCUGGGAAACUGGGUCUAAUACUGGAUACGACCGAUCUCCGCAUGGAGUGUUGGUGGAAAGUUUUUGUGGUGGGGGAUGGACUCGCGGCCUAUCAGCUUGUUGGUGGGGUAAUGGCCUACCAAGGUCGACGACGGGUAGCCGGCCUGAGAGGGCGACCGGCCACACUGGGACUGAGACACGGCCCAGACUCCUACGGGAGGCAGCAGUGGGGAAUAUUGCACAAUGGGCGAAAGCCUGAUGCAGCGACGCCGCGUGAGGGAUGACGGCCUUCGGGUUGUAAACCUCUUUCACCAGGGACGAAGCUAACGUGACGGUACCUGGAGAAGAAGCACCGGCUAACUACGUG
rnacentral:rRNA from 1 species